rnacentral:rRNA from 1 species
UGGGGAAUAUUGGACAAUGGGCGAAAGCCUGAUCCAGCCAUGCCGCGUGUGUGAAGAAGGCCUUAUGGUUGUAAAGCACUUUAAGUGGGGAGGAAAAGCUUAUGGAUAAUACCCAUAGGUUCUGACGUUACCCACAGAAUAAGCACCGGCUAACUCUGUGCCAGCAGCCGCGGUAAUACAGAGGGUGCGAGCGUUAAUCGGAAUUACUGGGCGUAAAGCGAGCGUAGGUGGUUUAUUAAGUCAGAUGUGAAAUCCCUGGGCUUAACCUAGGAACUGCAUCUGAUACUGAUAAACUAGAGUAGGUGAGAGGAAAGUAGAAUUCCAGGUGUAGCGGUGAAAUGCGUAGAUAUCUGGAGGAAUACCGAUGGCGAAGGCAGCUUUCUGGCAUCAUACUGACACUGAGGUUCGAAAGCGUGGGUAGCAAACAGGAUUAGAUACCCUGGUAGUCCACGCCGUAAACGAUGUCUACCAGUCGUUGGGUCUUUUAAAGACUUAGUGACGCAGUUAACGCAAUAAGUAGACCGCCUGGGGAGUACGGCCGCAAGGUU